GCGCCCAGAGGCCCAACAGAUCGGACCCGCAACCGCCAGCCAAAGAGUCGCAGGCCGUGCCGAGACAGCACCGCCCCGAACCCCUCAAGCGACACGCGAGCACAGUACCCCCACAGGGACCGAGAGACGCCCGAGAUGCAUACGCGACCCAGCAGAGACCCACGGGGCAAGGCCAACCCUAGGAAGUUAACCAGGCAUAAAUUGGCGUCAAAUUAACCAUUCAUGUAAAUAGAAAGUAAAUCCUACGGAGUUAAAGAUUGUAAGGUGUUUCUGAUGCGCCCCGCUCAGUCCCGCCGACAGCAGCUGAGUUCCUGGGUAAAGACAAAAGUUAAUUACACCAUUCCAAGAACGUAAGCAGCAAUAUAAUUUAGAGUAAUGUGGUGACUCCCUCUAACGCGCCGAGUCAGUUUACUAAGUUUAAGUUAAGGGAGUUAAUAUAUGGUGACCAUGUUUGUAUAAAAUUUGACAACUGAUUUUUAUUUGAAGCAGAAAUUUUCUCCAUUGAAAUAUGAUUUACCAGAAGGUUCAACCAAAGAUUGAUGUUCAGAGUCUGCUUAUUUUUCGUUUUUUUGGCGAUUGCGAGGGAUACUAGUAUGGAUUAAGAUUGUUUACAUGGCAAGUCAAUUGUUGUUAAGUCUCCGAGUAAACAGACUUGGGGAUGAAGAAAACCUGCAGCCCAGGAUCUCGGAAAGCUUUUCUAGGACGUUAGUCCAGAAAUUUCUAACGGGAGUACACAACCACAAAGCAUGUAAAUAGGUGUCGGCAGUGUUCUGGGAGCACUGGAGACAAAUAUCUGAAUCUGAGAGUCCCAUUUUCUUCAUCCUGUAUUGAGUAAUAUGUAUUCUGUGAAGGAUUUUAUAUUGAACGAGUUGUAGGUUUGUGUGUUUUGUCAUUUUAAAUGUAUUGACACAAGUUUCAGUCCAAAAAUCUGGUUCCGGAAUUAUAGACAAAUCUGUCUCCCAUUUAGAGGUCGGUAUAUGUAUUGUAUCCAUGUUUGAAAGUAGCUUAUAUAUUUUAGAGAGGGUUUUAGUUGCCUGAGAGAUUUUUAUAGUAUCUUUGGGUAAUGUAGGUGGCUGGAGCGUGCCUUCAAGUGUUGGGAUUUUUGUUUUAACCAUAUUUUUAACUUGCAGGUAGUGUAGAAAAUUCCUGUUUUUGAUUUAAUAUUUUUGAAAGGUUUGCAUAUGACAUGAACGUAUUAUCUGAAAAGAGGUGGUGAAGGUGAGUAAUCCCAUUCUGCUCCCACAUAUUUAGAUAAAGCGGAUGAUUGUUAACCUGAAAAUCAGGGUUAUGCCAGAUGGGAGAUAACCCACAAGGCUCCAAUUUGAAAUUUGUAAUUUCUAGUGCCUUCCACCAAGCGGUUAAAGUUGAGGAAAUCCUUGGGUUUUUAAAACAGUUGUGACGUUUGAUGGAUGUUGUAAUAAAGGGUAUGUCUGAAAGUCUGA